CCGAAUGGGGAAACCCAAUAACUUAUAAGUGAAUUCAUAGCUUAUAAGGGCGAACCUAGGGAACUGAAACAUCUAAGUACCUAGAGGAAAAGAUAUUCCGUUAGUAGUGGCGAGCGAAAGCGGAUCAGGCCAGUGCUACUUUUUACUAAACCAGAACUGUAUGGAAAGGCAGGCCAUAGUGAGUGAUAGCCUCGUAUGGGUAGAUAGUAAAAAAUAGACAUGAGUAGGGCGGGACACGUGAAAUCCUGUCUGAAUAUAGGAAGACCACUUCCUAAGCCUAAAUACUACUUUAUGACCGAUAGUGAACCAGUACCGUGAGGGAAAGGCGAAAAGAACCCCGAGCAGGGGAGUGAAAUAGACCCUGAAACCGGAUGCUUACAAGCAGUUGGAGCCUCUUUAUGAGGUGACAGCGUACCUUUUGUAUAAUGGGUCAGCGACUUAAUCUCAUUAGCAAGCUUAAGCCAUAUAGGUGUAGGCGAAGCGAAAGCGAGUCUGAAUAGGGCGAUUUAGUUAAUGGGAUUAGACUCGAAACCGAGUGAUCUAGUCAUGAGCAGGUUGAAAGUGAAGUAAAAUUCACCGGAGGACCGAACCCACUAGCGUUGAAAAGCUACGGGAUGACUUGUGAUUAGGGGUGAAAGGCCAACCAAACUCGGAAAUAGCUAGUUCUCCGCGAAAACUAUUUAGGUAGUGCGUCGUGUGAAUCUUGUCGGGGGUAGAGCACUGAAUGGGCUAGGGGGAAGCAAUUCCUACCAAACCUAAUCAAACUCCGAAUACCGAUAAGUCUGCACGGCAGACAGUCCAUGGGUGCUAAGGUCCUUGGACGAGAGGGAAACAGCCCAGAUCAACAGCUAAGGUCCCCAAAUAAUGAUUAAGUGUGAAAGGGAGUGGGAACUCCAAGACAGCCAGGAGGUUGGCUUAGAAGCAGCCAUCCUUUAAAGAAAGCGUAACAGCUCACUGGUCUAAUUAAGAGAUCCUGCACCGAAAAUGUAACGGGGCUCAAAUCAUUUACCGAAGCUUUGACAAUUACUUUGUAAUUGGGUAGCGGAGCGUUCUGUAAGCCUGUGAAGGUGAUGCGUAAGCAUUGCUGGAGGUAUCAGAAGUGCGAAUGCUGACAUGAGUAACGAUAAGAAAUGUGAAAGACAUUUCCGCCGAAAUCCUAAGGUUUCCUGCGUAAAGCUAAUCUGCGCAGGGUUAGUCGGCCCCUAAGGCGAGGGCGAAAGCCGUAGUCGAUGGGAAGCAGGUUAAUAUUCCUGCACCAGCUGGUAGUGACGGAUGAAGUAAAUUGUAAGUUCUUACUGGAUUGAACUUGCAGUGAAUUUGUCCCUGGAAAUAGCUCCAGCAUUAGACCGUACCAAAACCGACACAGGUAGGAAGGUAGAGUAUACCAAGGCGCUUGAGAGAACUAUGUUGAAGGAACUCGGCAAAUUACACUUGUAACUUCGGGAUAAAAGUGACCUGCUAUUGGGCAACCAGUAGGAGGUGGCACAGAAGAGGGGGUAGCGACUGUUUACUAAAAACAUAGCACUAUGCAAAGUCGAAAGACGACGUAUAUGGUGUGACGCCUGCCCGGUGCCGGAAGGUUAAUAGGAGGGGUGCAAGCCCUGAAUUGAAGCCCCGGUGAACGGCGGCCGUAACUAUAACGGUCCUAAGGUAGCGAAAUUCCUUGUCGGGUAAGUUCCGACCUGCACGAAUGGCGUAACGAUUUCCCCACUGUCUCCAACAUAGACUCAGUGAAAUUGAAUUCUCGGUUAAGAUGCCGAGUAACCGUGGUUAGACGGAAAGACCCCGUGCACCUUUACUGCAGCUUUGUAUUGGUAUUAGGGGACAGAUGUGUAGCAUAGGUGGGAGACUUUGAAGGAUUGGCGCUAGCCAGUCUGGAGUCAC
rnacentral:rRNA from 1 species